UUAUAAUUUAAAUAAAUUAAAACUUUCAACAACGGAUCUCUUGGUUCUGGCAUCGAUGAAGAACGCAGCGAAAUGCGAUAAGUAAUGUGAAUUGCAGAAUUCAGUGAAUCAUCGAAUCUUUGAACGCACAUUGCGCCCCUUGGUAUUCCGAGGGGCAUGCCUGUUCGAGCGUCAUU
rnacentral:rRNA from 1 species